rnacentral:rRNA from 1 species
AGGACGAACGCUGGCGGCAGGCUUAACACAUGCAAGUCGAGCGCCUCGCAAGAGGAGCGGCAGACGGGUGAGUAACGCGUGGGAAUCUACCCUUCACUACGGAACAACUCCAGGAAACUGGAGCUAAUACCGUAUACCUCCUUCGGGAGAAAGAUUUAUCGGUGAUGGAUGAGCCCGCGUUGGAUUAGCUAGUUGGUGGGUAAUGGCCUACCAAGGCGACGAUCCAUAGCCGGUCUGAGAGGAUGAUCAGCCACAUUGGGACUGAGACCACGGCCCAAACCUCCGUACGGGAGGCAGCAGG